GCCGUCGAGUGGCAGCAGAUGCACCAAGCGACCAAGCGAUGUAUGCUGCGAUUACAAAAGACAGGACAAAGAGAGAGCAAGGAGUAUCCAGAACCAUGACGGCGACAGUUCACUCAGCUGGUACCAACCGACCUUUUGGCACAGGAACCCCUCUAUUCUUUGAUCCAGUAGGUCGCAACGUGACGGCUGAAUGAAGGACGAGCAGCACAUGAGACGUUUGGUUGAACCUGAUGUGUGAAAAAACACUUUUUAUUUUAUUUUACAUUGUAGAAAUGGUUUUCAUGCUUUGCGCCCUACAUGUGUUGAUGUUUAAAGAUAUUUUAAAGAGAUGUGGUUUGUAUUUUCAGAUGUAUUAUCUGUUAUUAUCUAGUGACAGUUAAACCCACAUGUUCCAUCUGCUGUGUGUAUUUACGUGAGUGUGAAACUGUGGUCAACCACCACCUUGAUGCUGCAGCUUCACUUUCAUCUGAAGCACACUGACCGAGUCCAAAUAAAAAAAUGAGUCUGACACUUUAAGUCUAACGUGGUUGUAAAUGUCAUAUAUGAGAAGACAGAAAAUAACUGUGCCAUUAAAGAAGUGUACUUGUGUUUAUUCUUUCAUGCAAACAGUAUUUUCUCAGGGUCUUCUUAUCAGCAAUCCUGAUUCAUAUUCAACAUGUUCAACAAAAACGUCUUUUUGAGUGGACAGUAACGGUAGUAGCUCUCAAAUGCUUUGAGCUGAAUGCGAUUACAAUGCAAGCUAAUAUGUUAAAAAUUACCAUGCUAACAUGCUAAU